CGAUUCUUCCAUUCAAGGCAGCGAUUGAUUGGCAACCAUCUUUCACACACGCACUUUGUAUUUCCCCUGAUUUCCGAGUUUUGCUACAGACAGAAUUUUGUAGGUAUUCGCGAUCCAGUAGUAGUUGUUGGAAGCGAGUUGUUGGUGAGGUUUGAGCCGCGGAUAUUCGUGCGAUGGACGCUUUGAGGCACGCCGACGCGAAAGUGCAGCAUGCGACGCACCCAGCGGGAACAGCGCGGUGGAGAAUGAACAGAUACAACCCCAUGGCGAGGCUACGCUGGAAGAAGAACCGCGUGACCCACCCUGUUGGAUACCAGAAGGCGAAGACGAGGGCGAGAUUGAACUACAUCAACCCCCUCUUCUACAUCCGACGCAUCAAGCGUAACCUCACUGGCGUUGGGCACCGCCACAGGACCACCACCGUAUAUUAGAAGAAGCCUUGUACAUAUAUUGCUUCAGUGUAGGCAUCCGAUUGUAAAGCCGAGUUGGAACGGGAGAGAGAUUGGUACAGAGACGCUGUUUGAUUUAAUUUUGUUAACGGCACUUCAUGAUUUCCAGAAGCGCCUGCUCACACCAGGCGAUUCUUUAGACUGUAACCCUAGGUAUAUAAAUUUAUUGAGAAUUUAUCUGCAUAUUUCUCUUG